GGGCAUGCCGGGUCUGACGAUGCAGUCGAGCGGAGAGGCCUUUUCGGAGGUACUCGAGUGGCGAACGGGUGAGUAACACGUGGGUGAUCUGCCCUGCACUCUGGGAUAAGCCUGGGAAACUGGGUCUAAUACCGGAUAGGACCGCACUUUAGUGUGUGUGGUGGAAAGUUUUUUCGGUGUAGGAUGAGCCCGCGGCCUAUCAGCUUGUUGGUGGGGUAAUGGCCUACCAAGGCGGCGACGGGUAGCCGGACUGAGAGGUUGGUCGGCCACAUUGGGACUGAGAUACGGCCCAGACUCCUACGGGAGGCAGCAGUGGGGAAUAUUGCACAAUGGGCGCAAGCCUGAUGCAGCGACGCCGCGUGGGGGAUGACGGCCUUCGGGUUGUAAACUCCUUUCGCCAGGGACGAAGCGUUUUGUGACGGUACCUGGAGAAGAAGCACCGGCUAACUACGUGCCAGCAGCCGCGGUAAUACGUAGGGUGCAAGCGUUGUCCGGAAUUACUGGGCGUAAAGAGCUCGUAGGUGGUUUGUCACGUCGUCUGUGAAAUUCCACAGCUUAACUGUGGGCGUGCAGGCGAUACGGGCUGACUUGAGUACUGUAGGGGUAACUGGAAUUCCUGGUGUAGCGGUGAAAUGCGCAGAUAUCAGGAGGAACACCGAUGGCGAAGGCAGGUUACUGGGCAGUUACUGACGCUGAGGAGCGAAAGCAUGGGUAGCAAACAGGAUUAGAUACCCUGGUAGUCCAUGCCGUAAACGGUGGGCGCUAGGUGUAGGGGCCUUUUGGGGUUUCUGUGCCGUAGCUAACGCAUUAAGCGCCCCGCCUGGGGAGUACGGCCGCAAGGCUAAAACUCAAAGGAAUUGACGGGGGCCCGCACAAGCGGCGGAGCAUGUGGAUUAAUUCGAUGCAACGCGAAGACCCUUACCUGGGCUUGACAUACACCAGAUCGCUGCAGAGAUGUAGUUUCCCUUGUGGCUGGUGUACAAGGUGGUGCAUGGCUGUCGU
rnacentral:rRNA from 1 species